rnacentral:rRNA from 1 species
UACGUAGGGUGCAAGCGUUGUCCGGAAUUAUUGGGCGUAAAGAGCUCGUAGGCGGUUCGUCGCGUCGGCUGUGAAAACCUGAGGCUCAACCUCAGGCCUGCAGUCGAUACGGGCGGACUUGAGUACUGCAGGGGAGACUGGAAUUCCUGGUGUAGCGGUGAAAUGCGCAGAUAUCAGGAGGAACACCGGUGGCGAAGGCGGAUCUCUGGGCCGUAACUGACGCUGAGGCACGAAAGCGUGGGGAGCAAACAGG